GGUAAGGUGGCUGAGUGUUAAGCGGCGGAUUGUAGCUCCGUAGACAGAGGUUUAAGCCCUCUCCAUACUA
rnacentral:tRNA from 1 species